GACGAACGCUGGCGGCAGGCCUAACACAUGCAAGUCGAGCGGUAGCACAGGAGAGCUUGCUCUCUGGGUGACGAGCGGCGGACGGGUGAGUAAUGUCUGGGAAACUGCCUGAUGGAGGGGGAUAACUACUGGAAACGGUAGCUAAUACCGCAUAACGUCUUCGGACCAAAGUGGGGGACCUUCGGGCCUCACGCCAUCAGAUGUGCCCAGAUGGGAUUAGCUAGUAGGUGGGGUAAUGGCUCACCUAGGCGACGAUCCCUAGCUGGUCUGAGAGGAUGACCAGCCACACUGGAACUGAGACACGGUCCAGACUCCUACGGGAGGCAGCAGUGGGGAAUAUUGCACAAUGGGCGCAAGCCUGAUGCAGCCAUGCCGCGUGUGUGAAGAAGGCCUUCGGGUUGUAAAGCACUUUCAGCGAGGAGGAAGGGUGGUGUGUUAAUAGCACAUCACAUUGACGUUACUCGCAGAAGAAGCACCGGCUAACUCCGUGCCAGCAGCCGCGGUAAUACGGAGGGUGCAAGCGUUAAUCGGAAUUACUGGGCGUAAAGCGCACGCCGGCGGUUUGUUAAGUCAGAUGUGAAAUCCCCGCGCUUAACGUGGGAACUGCAUUUGAAACUGGCAAGCUAGAGUCUUGUAGAGGGGGGUAGAAUUCCAGGU
rnacentral:rRNA from 1 species